UACGUAGGGGGCGAGCGUUGUCCGGAAUUAUUGGGCGUAAAGAGCUCGUAGGCGGCUUAGUAAGUCGGCGGUGAAAUACCGAGGCUCAACCUCGGCACUGCCGUCGAUACUGCUAUGGCUAGAGUCUGGUAGAGGAGAACGGAAUUCCCGGUGUAGCGGUGGAAUGCGCAGAUAUCGGGAGGAACACCCGUAGCGAAGGCGGUUCUCUGGGCCAGUACUGACGCUGAGGAGCGAAAGCGUGGGGAGCGAACAGGG
rnacentral:rRNA from 1 species